GACGAACGCUGGCGGCGUGCCUAAUACAUGCAAGUCGAACAGUGGCGAACGGGUGAGUAACAAGUGAGUAACCUGCCCUCCACUUUGGGAUAACUCCGAGAAAUCGGGGCUAAUACUGGAUAGCGGGGGAUGGGCUCGCGGCCUAUCAGUUUGUUGGUGAGGUAGUGGUCACCAAGGCGUGACGGGUAGCCGGCCUGAGAGGGCGGCCGGCGACCCGGGGACUGAGACACGGCCCAGACUCCUACGGGAGGCAGCAGUGGGGAAUAUUGCACAAUGGGCGAAAGCCUGAUGCAGCGACGCCGCGUGGGGGAUGACGGCUUUCGAGUUGUAAACCUCUGUCAGCAAGGAAGCGGUACUUGCAGAAGAAGCGCCGGCUAACUACGUGCCAGCAGCCGCGGUAAUAC
rnacentral:rRNA from 1 species